rnacentral:rRNA from 1 species
AACGAACGCUGGCGGCAGGCUUGACACAUGCAAGUCGAGAGCCCCGCAAGGGGAGCGGCAGACGGGUGAGUAACGCGUGGGAAUCUACCCAUCUCUACGGAAUAACGCAUGGAAACGUGUGCUAAUACCGUAUACGUGCUUCGGGAGAAAGAUUUAAUCGGAGAUGGAGGAGCCCGCGGUGGAUUAGCUAGUUGGUGGGGUAAAGGCCUACCAAGGCGACGAUCCAUAGCUGGUCUGAGAGGAUGAUCAGCCACACUGGGACUGAGACACGGCCCAGAGUCCUACGGGAGGCAGCAGUGGGGAAUAUUGGACAAUGGGCGCAAGCCUGAUCCAGCCAUGCCGCGUGAGUUAUGAAGGCCCUAGGGUUGUAAAGCUCUUUCACCGGUGAAGAUAAUGACGGUAACCGGAGAAGAAGCCCCGGCUAACUUCGUGCCAGCAGCCGCGGUAACAC